GACGAACCGUGCGAACGUUGUUCGGAAUCACUGGGCUUAAAGGGCGCGUAGGCGGGACUGUAAGUCUGCGGUGAAAGCCUCCAGCUCAACUGGAGAAGUGCCGUGGAUACUGCGGUCCUCGAGGAGGGUAGGGGCAUCUGGAACGUUGGGUGGAGCGGUGAAAUGCGUUGAUAUCCAACGGAACUCCGGUGGCGAAGGCGAGGUGCUGGACCCUUUCUGACGCUGAGGCGCGAAAGCCAGGGGAGCGAACGGG
rnacentral:rRNA from 1 species